UACGGGGGGAGCAAGCGUUGUUCGGAUUUACUGGGCGUAAAGGGCGCGUAGGCGGUCGUGACAAGUCACUUGUGAAAUCUCUGGGCUUAACUCGGAACGGUCAAGUGAUACUGUCGGACUAGAGUACAGAAGGGGCAACUGGAAUUCUCGGUGUAGCGGUGAAAUGCGUAGAUAUCGAGAGGAACACCGGCGGCGAAGGCGGGUUGCUGGGCUGAUACUGACGCUGAGGCGCGAAAGCCAGGGGAGCGAACGGG
rnacentral:rRNA from 1 species